GUGGAAACUUGGUCACUAACUGCAUGAUGUUGCAGAAGUGAGGGGAACCAGGUUUGCUAAAGUAAUUGUGGUGAUAGAAAUGUAUUAGCCUCAGAAGCUACUGAGGUGGUCCAUUCUAUCCUAGUACAGUG
ensembl:snoRNA SNORA66 Small nucleolar RNA SNORA66